GAUGAAGAACGCAUCGAAAUGCGAUAAGUAAUGUGAAUUGCAGAAUUCAGUGAAUCAUCGAAUCUUUGAACGCACAUUGCGCCCGCCAGUAUUCUGGCGGGCAUGCCUGUUCGAGCGUCAUUACAACCCUCAGGCCCCCGGGCCUGGCGUUGGGGAUCGGCGGAAGCCCCCUGCGGGCACAACGCCGUCCCCCAAAUACAGUGGCGGUCCCGCCGCAGCUUCCAUUGCGUAGUAGCUAACACCUCGCAACUGGAGAGCGGCGCGGCCACGCCGUAAAACACCCAACUUCUGAAUGUUGACCUCGAAUCAGGUAGGAAUACCCGCUGAACUUAAGCAUAUCAAUAAGCGGAGGA
rnacentral:misc_RNA from 1 species